rnacentral:misc_RNA from 1 species
AGUUAAUGAAAUUUAGGUUUAAAAUUUUAUGCAGCUAUUUAAAUACUUAAAAUGAAUUUUUAUUUUUAUUUUUUUUAUAAUUGAUUAUGACUAAAAUUUGAACUUAAUGUUUGACUGUUUUGGAGAUUACUAAAAAAAUCUUGUGAUUCUUAAGCUGUGAUUCUUCAAUACACACAGUUUUGAAACGCAGUCGAUGGAAGUUAAUUUUUUUUCUUUUUAAAUAUUGUGACAAUUAGGUAAUAAUUCGAAUUAGUUUUUGCGUAAUUAUAUUAUUAACAUUUAAUAAACAUUUAUAAUACAGUGAGGAUUAGUUUUAGAUAUUAUUGACUAAAUGACAUUAAGAUUUAAUCUUUAAAAAAAAUAUAAAAAUCAUUUCCGCUGGUUCAUUACUUAGAUUGAAAUAAUGCCAAAUUAAUAAAAACAGUUGAAUAAUAGUUGAUAUAAUUAAUUCAUCAUGAUGCUUUUCUUUUUUUAUGGAAUAAUUCAUUCAUUUCUAUUGUCAGUGUAAGGCUUCUAACUCUAUAUAAAAUCAUCUUCAUGACAUAACAAUAUUAAAACAACUAUAUAUAUAACAAAUUUUAGAAUUUCAUUCUUUUCAAAUUAAUAUACACAUUAAAAAUAAAAAUUGUAUUAAUAAUGAUAUAAUUUUAUAAAAAUUAAUUGAUUUAAUGGAGAGCACUAUUACAAUUAAACUAAAGAUACUCUUCCAUAUAAAUAAGAAUAACUUAAGAAAGUAAAAGGGUUUAAAUACUUUUCAAUUAACAGACUCUCUU